rnacentral:misc_RNA from 1 species
AGCAGCCGCGGUAAUUCCAGCUCCAAUAGCGUAUAUUAAAGUUGCUGCAGUUAAAAAGCUCGUAGUUGAAUUUCGGGAUCAAUAUGUUGGUCGUGCCUCGGUACGUACUAGCUUAUUGGUUUCUCCCUUCUGACGAACCAUGAUGUCAUUUAUUUGGUGUUAUGGGAAAUCAGGACUGUUACUUUGAAAAAAUUAGGGUGUUUAAAGCAGGCUCACGCUUGAAUACAUUAGCAUGGAAUAAUGAAAUAGGACGUUUGAUUCUAUUUUGUUGGUUUCUAGGAUCGACGUAAUGAUUAAUAGGGAUAGUUGGGGGCAUUAGUAUUCAAUUGUCAGAGGUGAAAUUCUUGGAUUUAUUGAAGACUAACUACUGCGAAAGCAUUUGCCAAGGAUGUUUUCAUUAAUCAAGUACGAAAGUUAGGGGAUCGAAGACGAUCAGAUACCGUCGUAGUCUUAACCAUAAACUAUGCCGACUAGGGAUCGGAUGAUGUUAAUUUUUUAAUGACUCAUUCGGCGCCUUACG